rnacentral:rRNA from 1 species
UACGUAGUGGGCAAGCGUUAUCCGGAUUUACUGGGUGUAAAGGGAGCGUAGACGGAUGGACAAGUCUGAUGUGAAAGACUGGGGCUCAACCCCGGGACUGCAUUGGAAACUGCCCGUCUUGAGUGCCGGAGAGGUAAGCGGAAUUCCUAGUGUAGCGGUGAAAUGCGUAGAUAUUAGGAGGAACACCAGUGGCGAAGGCGGCUUACUGGACGGUAACUGACGUUGAGGCUCGAAAGCGUGGGGAGCAAACAGG